UAAAGCCACCCUACAGGGGGGAUGAGAACCCCCGACCGGGGUUCGACAACUGGCGCAGCCAGUUGGACAGACGACGAGCCUGCGAGGAGACUGCCCGAAGGGCGAGCGCAGCGAGUCAAUCCCCCCCUCACCGCCA
rnacentral:sRNA from 1 species